rnacentral:rRNA from 1 species
UACGUAGGGUGCAAGCGUUAAUCGGAAUUACUGGGCGUAAAGCGUGCGCAGGCGGUUCUGUAAGUCUGUCGUGAAAUCCCCGGGCUUAACCUGGGAAUUGCGAUGGAGACUGCAAGGCUAGAAUCUGGCAGAGGGGGGUAGAAUUCCACGUGUAGCAGUGAAAUGCGUAGAGAUGUGGAGGAACACCGAUGGCGAAGGCAGCCCCCUGGGCUAACACUGACGCUCAUGCACGAAAGCGUGGGGAGCAAACAGG